GAUAUACUCCCUCCGUCCGGAAAUACUUGUCAUAGAAAUGGAUACAGAUGGGUGUAUCUAGAACUAAAAUACAUCUAGUUACAUCCAUUCCUUGGACAAGUAUUUCCGGAUGAAGGGAAUCAUUG
rfam:Triticum aestivum genome assembly, contig: Triticum_aestivum_CS42_TGACv1_scaffold_160837_2DL